rnacentral:tRNA from 1 species
AAGAGAGGUCCGGGACAAGGAAAACUGCUAAUUUCUCCUCCCCGCGGUUCGACUCCCCGGCUCCCUUA